ACCCCAUGUCGGGCGAGUGUUUGUGCAGCCCGGGCUGGUCGGGCUUGUACUGUAAUGAGAUGUGUGCUCCUGGUUUAUACGGCGAGGCAUGUCAGCAGAUCUGCAGCUGUCAGAACGGAGCCGACUGCCACAGCGUGAGCGGGGAGUGUGUCUGCGCGCCCGGAUUCAAGGUACAGCUUCAGAAAGACACUCUGUGUGUGUGUGUGUGUGUGUGUGUGCUGGAGUCAGACACUAAUGUGUGGUGUGUCUGCAGGGCUCAGACUGCUCCUCUCCCUACGGCAUCAACUGCAGCUGGGUGUGCUCCUGUAAGAACACAGCUGCUUGCUCACCCAUCGACGGAUCCUGCUCCUGCCAAGCAGGGUGGCACGGGAUGGACUGCUCCAUCAUCUGCCCCAGCGGCUGGUGGGGUCAGGGCUGUAACCUGACGUGUGUGUGUGGGAACGGAGGAGCCUGUAGCGCUCUGGACGGGAGCUGCUCCUGUACCCCGGGCUGGAGAGGAGACCGCUGCCAUCAACACUGUCAGGAUGGGACGUAUGGGCUGGACUGUGGUGAGCGCUGUGACGGGUGUCAGCCCUCGACCGGACACUGCCGCUGUCUGGACGGAUCAGG